rnacentral:rRNA from 1 species
UACGUAGGGGCAAGCGUUGUCCGGAUUUAUUGGGCGUAAGCGCACGCAGGCGGUCUCUUAAGUUUCGAGUGACAGGUGGUGGCUACAACUCGCCACUAGGCCUUGGAAAAGCUGGGAGACUUGAGGACUUAGAGGGAUGCGGAAUUCCAGGUGGAGCGGUGAAAUGCGUAGAGAUCUGGAAGAACACCAAAGGCGAAGGCAGCAUCCUGGGAAGUAACUGACGCUCAUGUGCGAA